rnacentral:rRNA from 1 species
UACGUAGGGGGCAAGCGUUGUCCGGAAUCAUUGGGCGUAAGCGCGUGUAGGCAGCUCGAUAAGUCUGCUGUGAAAGUCCAGGGCUCAACCCUGGAAUGCCGGUGGAAACUGUCGGGCUAGAGUCCGGAAGAGGCGAGUGGAAUUCCUGGUGUAGCGGUGAAAUGCGCAGAUAUCAGGAAGAACACCCGUGGCUAAGGCGGUUCUCUAGUACGGUACUGACGCUGAGACGCGAAAGCGUGGGAGCGAACAGG